rnacentral:rRNA from 1 species
UACGUAGGGGGCGAGCGUUGUCCGGAGUUACUGGGCGUAAAGCGCACGCAGGCGGUCCGUUAAGUUUGGAGUGACAGUUGGUGGCUCAACCACCAAAGUGCUUUGAAAACUGGCAGACUUGAGGGCUUCAGAGGGACACGGAAUUCCGGGUGGAGUGGUGAAAUGCGUAGAGAUCCGGAGGAACACCGAAGGCGAAGGCAGUGUCCUGGGGAGUACCUGACGCUCAGGUGCGAAAGCCAGGGGAUCGAACGGG